GGCGUAAGCGCGCGCAGGUGGUUUCUUAAGUCUGAUGUGAAAGCCCACGCCUCUACCGUGGAGGGUCAUUGGAAACUGGGAGACUUGAGUGCCCAAGAGGAAAGUGGAAUUCCAUGUGUAGCGGUGAAAUGCGUAGAGAUAUGGAGGAACACCAGCGGCGAAGGCGACUUUCUGGUCCGUAACUGACACUGACGCGCGAAAGCGUGGGGAG
rnacentral:rRNA from 1 species